GACGAACGCUGGCGGCGUGCUUAACACAUGCAAGUCGAACGGUGAUGGGUGGAGCUUGCUCUGCUUUGAUCAGUGGCGAACGGGUGAGUAACACGUGAGUAACCUGCCCCAGACUCUGGAAUAACCCCGGGAAACCGGUGCUAAUACCGGAUAUGACACAGAAUCGCAUGGUUUCUGUGUGGAAAGUUUUUCGGUUUGGGAUGGACUCGCGGCCUAUCAGCUUGUUGGUGAGGUAAUGGCUCACCAAGGCGACGACGGGUAGCCGGCCUGAGAGGGCGACCGGCCACACUGGGACUGAGACACGGCCCAGACUCCUACGGGAGGCAGCAGUGGGGAAUAUUGCACAAUGGGCGCAAGCCUGAUGCAGCGACGCCGCGUGAGGGAUGAAGGCCUUCGGGUUGUAAACCUCUUUCAGCUCUGAAGAAGCGAAAGUGACGGUAGGAGCAGAAGAAGCACCGGCUAACUACGUGCCAGCCGCCGCCGUAA
rnacentral:rRNA from 1 species